rnacentral:rRNA from 1 species
CGCAUCUGUGCAUGCAGCAUAUCAAUAAGCGGAGGAAAAGAAACUAACAAGGAUUCCCUCAGUAACGGCGAGUGAAGCGGGAAGAGCUCAAAUUUGAAAUCUUGAAAGGUCACCUUUCACGAAUUGUAGUUUAAAGAAGUGUUUUCUGUUACGAUCGUAAUAUAAGUUCUUUGGAAUAGGACAUCACAGAGGGUGAGAAUCCCGUCUAUGAUUGCGAUUUGUAGCUUUGUGAUACACUUUCAAAGAGUCGGGUUGUUUGGGAAUGCAGCCCAAAACGGGAGGUAAAUUUCUUCUAAGGCUAAAUAUUGGCGAGAGACCGAUAGCGAACAAGUACCGUGAGGGAAAGAUGAAAAGAACUUUGAAAAGAGAGUUAAAUAGUACGUGAAAUUGUCAAAAGGGAAGCGUUUAACACCAGUGUUGUUUUCUGAAAAUCAACCUCCUGUUAGCUUUAUGCAUGUUUGUUUAGACCUAAUCAGCUAUCUUGCAUGUUCUAUUGUUUGCAGUGGUGCACUUUUCAGUUUACAGGUCAACAUCAGUUUUUUUUACCGUAAAAAAGUUAAAGAAAGGUAGCUCAUGGCUCCGGUCGUGAGUGUUAUAGUCUUUUUCCUAUGCGGUAGGAGAGACUGAGGUCUGCAGUGUAGGCUAUUUGGCUAGAUACUCAGGUGCUAUGUGAUACCAUUUCAUAAACAACUUGUUGAUUAUGUUUUGUCUAUUGCAUACUCGCUUGUACUAUCAUACCUACGCUUAGGAUGUUGACGAUCAGCUGAGCGCG